rnacentral:rRNA from 1 species
GCAUAUCAAUAAGCGGAGGAAAAGAAACCAACCGGGAUUGCCUCAGUAACGGCGAGUGAAGCGGCAAGAGCUCAAAUUUGAAAGCUGGCUCCUUCGGGGUCCGCAUUGUAAUUUGCAGAGGAUGCUUCGGGUGCGGCCCCUGUCUAAGUGCCCUGGAACGGGCCGUCAGAGAGGGUGAGAAUCCCGUCUGGGAUGGGGUGUCCGCGCCCGUGUGAAGCUCCUUCGACGAGUCGAGUUGUUUGGGAAUGCAGCUCUAAAUGGGUGGUAAAUUUCAUCUAAAGCUAAAUACUGGCCGGAGACCGAUAGCGCACAAGUAGAGUGAUCGAAAGAUGAAAAGCACUUUGAAAAGAGAGUUAAAAAGCACGUGAAAUUGUUGAAAGGGAAGCGCUUGCGACCAGACUCGCCUCCAGGGUUCAGCCGGCAUUCGUGCCGGUGUACUUCCCUGGGGGCGGGCCAGCGUCGGUUUGGGCGGCCGGUCAAAGGCUCCCGGAAUGUAGUGCCCUCCGGGGCACCUUAUAGCCGGGAGUGCAAUGCGGCCAGCCUGGACCGAGGAACGCGCUUCGGCACGGACGCUGGCAUAAU